rnacentral:rRNA from 1 species
GACGAACGCUGGCGGCGUGCCUAAUACAUGCAAGUAGAACGCUGAAGGAGGAGCUUGCUCUUCUGGAUGAGUUGCGAACGGGUGAGUAACGCGUAGGUAACCUGCCUGGUAGCGGGGGAUAACUAUUGGAAACGAUAGCUAAUACCGCAUAAGAGUAGAUGUUGCAUGACAUUUGCUUAAAAGGUGCAAUUGCAUCACUACCAGAUGGACCUGCGUUGUAUUAGCUAGUUGGUGGGGUAACGGCUCACCAAGGCGACGAUACAUAGCCGACCGGAGAGGGGGAUCGGCCACACUGGGACUGAGACACGGCCCAGACUCCUACGGGAGGCAGCAGUAGGGAAUCUUCGGCAAUGGACGGAAGUCUGACCGAGCAACGCCGCGUGAGUGAAGAAGGUUUUCGGAUCGUAAAGCUCUGUUGUAAGAGAAGAACGAGUGUGAGAGUGGAAAGUUCACACUGUGACGGUAGCUUACCAGAAAGGGACGGCUAACUACGUG